rnacentral:rRNA from 1 species
AACGAACGCUGGCGUCAUGCCUAACACAUGCAAGUCGAACGAGACCUUCGGGUCUAGUGGCGCACGGGUGCGUAGCGCGUGGGAACCUGCCCUUAGGUUCGGAAUAACUCCCCGAAAGGGGUGCUAAUACCGGAUAAUGUCUUCGGACCAAAGAUUUAUCGCCUUUGGAUGGGCCCGCGUUGGAUUAGCUAGUUGGUAGGGUAAAAGCCUACCAAGGCGACGAUCCAUAGCUGGUCUGAGAGGAUGAUCAGCCACACUGGGACUGAGACACGGCCCAGACUCCUACGGGAGGCAGCAGUGGGGAAUAUUGGACAAUGGGCGAAAGCCUGAUCCAGCAAUGCCGCGUGAGUGAUGAAGGCCUUAGGGUUGUAAAGCUCUUUUACCCGGGAUGAUAAUGACAGUACCGGGAGAAUAAGCUCCGGCUAACUCCGUG